rnacentral:misc_RNA from 1 species
GGUGUUAGUUACUGUUUCCCUACCGCCUGAGUUCUGACCUCGCUUUCCUCCUUCAUGCUUUUUCUACUCAAAUGUCUUGAUUUGCUCACUCUCAUAGACUCACAGUAUAGUCAACUCUCACUGGUUUUGGUGUUCAUAUGGAUGAGCUUCAUGGUAUUUAGGUCACUACUUUAAAGGGGAAUUAUCUUAAAAUGCAUUUUCCCAGGGCCCAUUCUUCAAAAUGAUUAGGGUUUCAUGCUAUGCUGUUGAGCAACUUAGUUUAUUUCUUUGGUUGCAUAGUGGAACAUAGAGCAUAUCAGCUUUGUUUACUUAAAUGUAAUAUUGUCAUGGCGUCAAUUACUCACUGACAACACUUGUCAUGGUGCUCUUAAGUUAAACAUCAACAAGCAUUCACCAUAUUUCAUUUAGUUUUUAGUUUUUCAGGCAGUUUAUUACUUGAUUUUGUUUAUUUUAAAAAAUUGGUUGGAUCAGGUAAAUACAGUUGCUAUACCUUUUCGUCUCUUCUCUUGGUUUGUAUGUUGUAUUAUAUCCUUAAUUUUCAAUGAUUAUGAAAGAGAGUAUCCAGUUUUUUAUUUAAUAUUAUUGUUAUGAUCUCUUGGAUUUUCUCUACUGAAGUUUUAGGCUUGUUGAUGACUUACUUGUUCUACAUCUCCUAAGCAAAGUAUUUUAUGUAUUCUGACCAAUGAAAUUUGUUGUGCAGGAA